GAAUGCUGACAUAAGUAACGAUAAAGCGGGUGAAAAGCCCGCUCGCCGGAAGACCAAGGGUUCCUGUCCAACGUUAAUCGGGGCAGGGUGAGUCGACCCCUAAGGCGAGGCCGAAAGGCGUAGUCGAUGGGAAACAGGUUAAUAUUCCUGUACUUGGUGUUACUGCGAAGGGGGGACGGAGAAGGCUAUGUUGGCCGGGCGACGGUUGUCCCGGUUUAAGCGUGUAGGCUGAUUUUCCAGGCAAAUCCGGAAAAUCAAGGCUGAGGCGUGAUGACGAGGCACUACGGUGCUGAAGCAACAAAUGCCCUGCUUCCAGGAAAAGCCUCUAAGCAUCAGGUAACAUCAAAUCGUACCCCAAACCGACACAGGUGGUCAGGUAGAGAAUACCAAGGCGCUUGAGAGAACUCGGGUGAAGGAACUAGGCAAAAUGGUGCCGUAACUUCGGGAGAAGGCACGCUGAUAUGUAGGUGAAGCGACUUGCUCGUGGAGCUGAAAUCAGUCGAAGAUACCAGCUGGCUGCAACUGUUUAUUAAAAACACAGCACUGUGCAAACACGAAAGUGGACGUAUACGGUGUGACGCCUGCCCGGUGCCGGAAGGUUAAUUGAUGGGGUUAGCGGCAACGCGAAGCUCUUGAUCGAAGCCCCGGUAAACGGCGGCCGUAACUAUAACGGUCCUAAGGUAGCGAAAUUCCUUGUCGGGUAAGUUCCGACCUGCACGAAUGGCGUAAUGAUGGCCAGGCUGUCUCCACCCGAGACUCAGUGAAAUUGAACUCGCUGUGAAGAUGCAGUGUACCCGCGGCAAGACGGAAAGACCCCGUGAACCUUUACUAUAGCUUGACACUGAACAUUGAGCCUUGAUGUGUAGGAUAGGUGGGAGGCUUUGAAGUGUGGACGCCAGUCUGCAUGGAGCCGACCUUGAAAUACCACCCUUUAAUGUUUGAUGUUCUAACGUUGGCCCGUAAUCCGGGUUGCGGACAGUGUCUGGUGGGUAGUUUGACUGGGGCGGUCUCCUCCUAAAGAGUAACGGAGGAGCACGAAGGUUGGCUAAUCCUGGUCGGACAUCAGGAGGUUAGUGCAAUGGCAUAAGCCAGCUUGACUGCGAGCGUGACGGCGCGAGCAGGUGCGAAAGCAGGUCAUAGUGAUCCGGUGGUUCUGAAUGGAAGGGCCAUCGCUCAACGGAUAAAAGGUACUCCGGGGAUAACAGGCUGAUACCGCCCAAGAGUUCAUAUCGACGGCGGUGUUUGGCACCUCGAUGUCGGCUCAUCACAUCCUGGGGCUGAAGUAGGUCCCAAGGGUAUGGCUGUUCGCCAUUUAAAGUGGUACGCGAGCUGGGUUUAGAACGUCGUGAGACAGUUCGGUCCCUAUCUGCCGUGGGCGCUGGAGAACUGAGGGGGGCUGCUCCUAGUACGAGAGGACCGGAGUGGACGCAUCACUGGUGUUCGGGUUGUCAUGCCAAUGGCACUGCCCGGUAGCUAAAUGCGGAAGAGAUAAGUGCUGAAAGCAUCUAAGCACGAAACUUGCCCCGAGAUGAGUUCUCCCUGACUCCUUGAGAGUCCUGAAGGAACGUUGAAGACGACGACGUUGAUAGGCCGGGUGUGUAAGCGCAGCGAUGCGUUGAGCUAACCGGUACUAAUGAACCGUGAGGCUUAACCUU
rnacentral:rRNA from 1 species